GGGCUGGUAGCUUAGUCUGGCUGGAGCACAAAUUUUAUGCUUAGUCGGCUGAUAACCGAGCGGCCGCCGGUUCAAAUCCGGCCCAGCCCA
rnacentral:tRNA from 1 species